GAUGAACGCUGGCGGCGUGCCUAACACAUGCAAGUCGAGCGAAGCGCUUAAAUUAGAUUUCUUCGGAAUGACGAUUUUUGUGACUGAGCGGCGGACGGGUGAGUAACGCGUGGGUAACCUGCCUCAUACAGGGGGAUAACAGUUAGAAAUGACUGCUAAUACCGCAUAAGACCCAGCUUCGCAUGAAGCGGUGGUAAAAACUCCGGUGGUAUGAGAUGGACCCGCGUCUGAUUAGCUAGUUGGUAAGGUAACGGCUUACCAAGGCGACGAUCAGUAGCCGACCUGAGAGGGUGACCGGCCACAUUGGGACUGAGACACGGCCCAGACUCCUACGGGAGGCAGCAGUGGGGAAUAUUGCACAAUGGGGGAAACCCUGAUGCAGCGACGCCGCGUGAAGGAUGAAGUAUUUCGGUAUGUAAACUUCUAUCAGCAGGGAAGAAAGUGACGGUACCUGACUAAGAAGCCCCGGCUAACUACGUG
rnacentral:rRNA from 1 species